rnacentral:rRNA from 1 species
UACGGGGGGGGCAAGCGUUGUUCGGAAUUACUGGGCGUAAAGGGCUCGUAGGUGGCCAACUAAGUCGGACGUGAAAUCCCUCGGCUUAACCGGGGAACUGCGUCCGAUACUGGUUGGCUUGAGUUUGGGAGAGGGAUGCGGAAUUCCAGGUGUAGCGGUGAAAUGCGUAGAUACUGGGAGGAACACCGGUGGCGAAGGCGGCUACCUGGACCGGUUCUGACGCUGAGGCGCGAAAGCGUGGGGAGCAAACAGG